UCCUGCGUGGCUCAGUUGGUAGAGCAUGGUGUUUGCAACGCCAAGGUUGUGGGUUCAAUUCCCACGUGGGAC
rnacentral:tRNA from 1 species